rnacentral:rRNA from 1 species
UGUGGUUUAAUUCGAUGAUACGCGAGGAACCGUUACCUGGGCUCGAACGUAAGAUGACUGUAGGUGAAAGCUUACAUCUCUUCGGAGCAUUUUACGAGGUGCUGCAUGGUUGUCGUCAGCUCGUGCCGUGAGGUGUCGGGUUAAGUCCCAUAACGAGCGCAACCCUACCUUUAGUUGCCAUCAGGUAAUGCUGGGGACUCUAAAGGAACUGCCUACGCAAGUAGUGAGGAAGGCGGGGAUGACGUCAAAUCAGCACGGCCCUUACGUCCAGGGCUACACACGUGCUACAAUGGCCGAUACAGAGGGCAGCUACCUGGUGACAGGAUGCAAAUCUCCAAAGUCGGUCUCAGUUCGGAUCGGAGUCUGCAACCCGACUCCGUGAAGUUGGAUUCGCUAGUAAUCGCGCAUCAGCCAUGGCGCGGUGAAUACGUUCCCGGGCCUU